UGGGGAAUAUUGGACAAUGGGCGAAAGCCUGAUCCAGCCAUGCCGCGUGUGUGAAGAAGGUCUUCGGAUUGUAAAGCACUUUCAGUUGGGAGGAAGGGCAGUAAGCGAAUACCUUGCUGUUUUGACGUUACCGACAGAAUAAGCACCGGCUAACUCUGUGCCAGCAGCCUCGGUAAUACAGAGGGUGCAAGCGUUAAUCGGAAUUACUGGGCGUAAAGCGCGCGUAGGUGGUUCGUUAAGUUGAAUGUGAAAGCCCCGGGCUCAACCUGGGAACUGCAUCCAAAACUGGCGAGCUAGAGUAGGGCAGAGGGUGGUGGAAGUUCCUGUGUAGCGGUGAAAUGAGUAGAUAUAGGAAGGAACAACAGUGGCGAAGGCGACCACCUGGGCUCAUACUGACACUGGGGUGCGAAAGCGUGGGGAGCAAACAGG
rnacentral:rRNA from 1 species